rfam:Stegodyphus mimosarum contig77872, whole genome shotgun sequence.
GCCUUCGUGUUGUAGUGGUCAGCACGCUCGACGCGUAACCGAGAGGUCCGUGGUUCGAUUCCCGGCGAAGGCG